rnacentral:rRNA from 1 species
GACGAACGCUGGCGGCGUGCUUAACACAUGCAAGUCGUACGGUAAGGCCCUUUCGGGGGUACACGAGUGGCGAACGGGUGAGUAACACGUGAGUAACCUGCCCACAACUUUGGGAUAACGCUAGGAAACUGGUGCUAAUACUGGAUAUGUGCUCCUGCUGCAUGGUGGGGGUUGGAAAGCUCCGGCGGUUGUGGAUGGACUCGCGGCCUAUCAGCUUGUUGGUGGGGUAGUGGCCUACCAAGGCGGCGACGGGUAGCCGGCCUGAGAGGGUGACCGGCCACAUUGGGACUGAGAUACGGCCCAGACUCCUACGGGAGGCAGCGGUGGGGAAUAUUGCACAAUGGGCGCAAGCCUGAUGCAGCAACGCCGCGUGCGGGAGGACGGCCUUCGGGUUGUAAACCGCGUUCAGCAGGGACGAAGCUUUUUGUGACGGUACCUGCAGAAGAAGCACCGGCUAACUACGUG